AUUGAACGCUGGCGGCAGGCUUAACACAUGCAAGUCGAGCGGAGAUGAGGUGCUUGCACCUUAUCUUAGCGGCGGACGGGUGAGUAAUGCUUAGGAAUCUGCCUAUUAGUGGGGGACAACAUUCCGAAAGGAAUGCUAAUACCGCAUACGUCCUACGGGAGAAAGCAGGGGAACUUCGGACCUUGCGCUAAUAGAUGAGCCUAAGUCGGAUUAGCUAGUUGGUGGGGUAAAGGCCUACAAAGCAGACGAUCUGUAGCGGGUCUGAGAGGAUGAUCCGCCACACUGGAACUGAGACACGCCCAAGACUCCAACGGGAGGCAGCAGUGGGAAAUAUUGGACAAUGGGGGAAACCCUGACCCAGCAAUGCCGCGUGUGUGAAGAAGGCCUUAUGGUUGUAAAGCACUUUAAGCGAGGAGGGGGCUACUGAGACUAAUACUCUUGGUUAGUGGACUUACUCGCAGAAUAAGCACCGGCUAACUCUGUGCCAGCCGCCGCCGUAA
rnacentral:rRNA from 1 species